AUUUGCGAAGGCGGGAGCAGAGGAGAGAGAGAGAGAGAGAGAGAGAGAGAGAAGAGAGAGAGAGAGAGAGAGAGGGAGAGGGCAGUGCGCCGCGGAAGAGACAGCUGGAACCCGAUCACGCGCGCCUACCCGUCCGUAGAAUCGGCGGCGGCGGCGGCGGCCGCGCUCGUCUCCGGCGCCGACGAGCUCCUCGACCACGGAGAACGCGCGGACCGCGGCCAUGUCGAAGAAGAAGGCGCCCACGUCCAUCCCGUGCGAGCUCCCCCUCGCCUUAGACCCUAGCGUCUCCGCGCGCCCAUCGGAUCGUCCUGUGGCCUCCCAGUCUUCCGCACGUCCCCCUUUUCCGGCAGCCUCCGCCGCUGCCGCUGCGCCUGCGGCUGCGCCCGCGGUUCGUUCGCUCGUCGCCAACUCUUCUGGCAUGGACACCCGAUUCGACGAGGACGAACGGACAACCGCCGCCACGCGGCGCCGCCAGUCGCCCUCUCCUUCUUUUGCACCAUCGACGUCGAAGGCGACGGCGGUGGGACUCACUAGAUACGGUGCUGUCAAGUCCUGGGGGCCGAGGAGGGAGCUGGAAACUGGGGAGACCAGUAGGUGCAUGGAGGUGCUACUGCUAGAGAACCCAAUCGAUGCUACAAAACCAUCUCCUCUCCAUGUUGAUGAAGACAAGCAGGGUGAGGUUAUUGGUGGUACCCAACAGAAUGCUCCAGAGAGCUGUGUAACGGAGCGAGCACGACUGAAUCUGAAAUCUCGCUCCAGUGCAGUGGGACAAUCUGCUGGCAGUCCUCUCAAGGAAAGAAUUCUGGCUCCAUCAACAGCAAUGAAAAGAGCAACGGAGAACAAAUAUUUGGCGAACUUGAAGACAGAUAUUGUUGAGAAGGCGUUGAAAUAUGAUAGAAAAGAGAAAAUGAAGGAGGUUAUGAGGCUGAUGAUAUUCCAGAGGAGGGUUUUGUUCCGUUAUGAUAGAAGAACCGACUGCAUUGCACUAAAAAGCAUAGCUACUGAAUUUUAUGCGCUGAUGAACUUCUGUUGUCCUAAUCUACUUGGAGAGUCCGGACAAUUUCAUGAAAACUUCAGCAUGCCAAUUGAAAGGGCUAGAUAUAGAGGCGCAUCUGCGCAAUUGAUAAAAGAGUCAAUAGAAGCAUCUGAGAGGCUGAAGAAACUUGUUAGCCCUUUUGUAUUGAGAAGGACGAAAGAGAUGUUAAAGAAUAGCGCCUCUAAACUUGGUACUAAACAUGAAUUGACUGUGUGGUUGAAGAUCUCUGCUGCUCAAGAAUAUCUUUACACCAAUCUUAUCAUGAGCAAUGUUUUGGGAGAUGAGCCUGGCACACCUUUGGCAGCUUCUCAAGUUGCGAGGAGUAUCUGCAAUCACCCAGUAAUGGUGAUUGGUUCUGACUUUGAACAGAGGGGUGAAUCAGAAGAGAAGAAGGAUGCUUUAACUGACAUUAUCCGAAAAGGUUUAUUGGCGGUCAGUAACAUCGAGGAUAUUGAAGUCGACGACUACAGUUUGUCCAGCAAAGUAGCUUUUACUUUAUAUUUGGUGGAUAGGCUCAUCAAGGAAGAUAUAAGAUCUUGUUAUUUUCUCAAUCUCCACGAACAUUGACGAUGAUAGAGGUAGUUUCUAACAAUAGUUGCAUAACUCUCUUUUUGCCGGGUCAGCCAAAGGUUGGCCAACCAAUUUCUUAAGAUUGGGGAGAAAAACAAAGGAAUGUUACAGCGACAUUACAAUGUCGCGCUAGUCCGGGAGAGAUCCCAGACACAGCGUGAACAAGCGAAAGAGAAAUAGACAAUACAACAACGAUU
rnacentral:lncRNA from 1 species